GUUUGUAUAGUUUAAUUAAAACCUUGAAUUGUGGUUUCAAAAAUAUAAAUAUAUUGCAAACC
rnacentral:tRNA from 1 species